CGUACACCUGAGGGGGCGCCACCCGCUUGUACUGCAAUAAAGUGCUGUUUUGUUCCAUGUCAGCGCCUCGCGCCCUCUUCUAGUUGGCUGGCUCACCUCCUUGAAUCCCUCUUCAGCCUCCCUCGGCUGACAUACCCCAUCUUGCAGUUGUUUGAAAAGAGACCAUCUACUUGCUGAAGUGUUAAAGUUUGUUUGUGUCACGUAAAUUUUUUUUUAAAACAGUUUUUGUUGACGAGGCGUGGGCUCCGAAGCGGACUGCAGGGCCACAAGUGCGCAGGUGAUGCGCCCGACCCCUUUGGAGUCGCAGCUCUUCUCUGCUCCGCCUUGCCGAGGGCCCUGGGAAGCCCUGAAGGAGUUCCAGAGUGUGAUGGGACUCCCUGCCUGGCCUGAGAUACCCAGUUAGCACCUGCGGAUCAGAGCUUCCUCUCCCCAGCAAUGAAGCUUCCAGCCUUUGCAUCUGUAACAGCCUCCCCUGUAAUUUAUGCAUUCUAUGAUCACAGCAGCAUCCCUUGCUCACCUCUCCCUCCAGCAACUUGAGCAUCCUUGUCACACAUCUUGGGCAUCUGGCCUUCACUACCGUGGAAGAUUUGUGCAGGAGUCAGAACAUCCUAGACUGUGAGUGAUGUAUAUGGCUUGAGUCCCAAGGUCAACAGCGUGGUUUUUAAGUAACAUGAAUAGUAAAAAUAUACAUGCUUUGUUCCUUCACACACACACACACACACACACAAUUGUUGAACACUUGACAAAUAAUGUCUGUAUAACUAGAAAGCUUAUCUUCUAUCUUUAAGUCAGCCUGCUUCUAAGCUGGGUUAAUGUUAUCAACAGAAAGGCCUUAGUUUUUCUGAAGUCUACAAUAGACUUGAUUAUACGAAGUUGAGGGCACAGCCCUGGGAGCCAAGCAGAAUCGCUUUGCAUAAUAAAGGAGAAAGAAAGUUGAAGUUUGGGGGGUAAGGAAAGAUCUAGGAGUAAGGAACAGGCAAAAGGGCAGGUGCGCACUUGUAUUCAAUACAGCAAAGCCCCCAGGACUGACGUGGUUGAGGAGGGGAUUUGCGGUCUAGCUCUAUUCUAAUGGGAGCACUUAAGAAGUUUACGGUGCGGGAUCAUGUGUAAAACUCCUACUCCAUCACUUGUUGGUGCCAGCGCCAAUUUUAGGGUGACUGGAGUCCUUUGGUGGAACUUGAACAGGUGCCGAGUUCUCCCUCCAGGAUAAGGCAAAAAUAGGGGGGGAGUCGGGUUGUGUGAAGGAGCUGUAGGAAAGGCAGUGGGGGGCUCAGCAGCUUUAAGAGAGACAUGUUAGCGUUUGUGUGGGAUUAUUUGAGUUAAGGUUAUCUACUCUAUCAAAGGUAGCCUUCCCCAUCCUCGAGUUCCUUGUCUCAAGCAGACAGCACUGAAAAUUUGGCCCCAUGACUAGUAUGAUUCUGGAUGCACUGGAGAGGAGCUAAAUUAUUACAUACAUGGGAUGCUUCAGUGCGAGAGGUGGCAAACUACUGUUGGAGGCCAAAUCGAGCCCACUGCCUGUUGUUAUAA